rnacentral:tRNA from 1 species
GGGCGGAUAGUUUAGUUUGGUUAGAAUCCUCGGCUUACACCCGAGGGAUCGGUGGUUCAAAUCCGCCUCCGCCCA